rnacentral:lncRNA from 1 species
AAGACAGAGGCUGUGUUCUCCUUUGGCAGGAUAAUCUAACAAACGGAUCUCUGGAUGAUGCUGAGCAACACAGUGCAAACCUACACUCUGGGCAUGACACUUUCUUGGCAAGACAGARCAAUUCGGCAUUCAGUCUCAAGCUGAAGCCUCCUCAAGCCUGUAAUACAUUCCUGGCCAACUCUUUUCAGAUUCGUAAGUGAAGUCUUACCCUUACUGCUCCAUGGACAGAGGCUCUACAACCCAAGAGACCGAAAUAAACCUGCAAGAAAGUGUGUAAUGGGAAACA